rnacentral:rRNA from 1 species
UGAGUGAUGAAGGCCCUAGGGUUGUAAAGCCCUUUUACCCGGGAAGAUAAUGACUGUACCGGGAGAAUAAGCCCCGGCUAACUCCGUGCCAGCAGCCGCGGUAAUACGGAGGGGGCUAGCGUUGUUCGGAAUUACUGGGCGUAAAGCGCACGUAGGCGGCUUUGUAAGUCAGAGGUGAAAGCCUGGAGCUCAACUCCAGAACUGCCUUUGAGACUGCAUCGCUUGAAUCCAGGAGAGGUCAGUGGAAUUCCGAGUGUAGAGGUGAAAUUCGUAGAUAUUCGCAAGAACACCAGUGGCGAAGGCGGCCAACUGGUCCGAUACUGACGCUGAGGCGCGAAAGCGUGGGGAGCAAACAGGAUUAGAUACCCUGGUAGUCCACGCCGUAAACGA